UGGGCGUAAGCGCACGCAGGCGGUCUGUCAAGUCGGAUGUGAAAUCCCCGGGCUCAACCUGGGAACUGCAUUCGAAACUGGCAGGCUAGAGUCUUGUAGAGGGGGGUAGAAUUCCAGGUGUAGCGGUGAAAUGCGUAGAGAUCUGGAGGAAUACCGGUGGCGAAGGCGGCCCCCUGGACAAAGACUGACGCUCAGGUGCGAAAGCGUGGGGAGCAAACAGGAUUAGAUACCCUGGUAGUCCACGCCGUAAACGAUGUCGACUUGGAGGUUGUGCCCUUGAUGCGUGGCUUCCGGAGCUAACGCGUUAAGUCGACCGCCUGGGGAGUACGGACGCAAGCUUAAAACUCAAAUGAAUUGACGGGGGCCCGCACAACCGGUGGAGCAUGUGGUUUAA
rnacentral:rRNA from 1 species